rnacentral:rRNA from 1 species
CAGUCGCCACGGUAAUACGUAGGGUGCAAGCGUUAAUCGGAAUUACUGGGCGUAAAGCGUGCGCAGGCGGUUAUAUAAGACAGAUGUGAAAUCCCCGGGCUCAACCUGGGAACUGCAUUUGUGACUGUAUAGCUAGAGUACGGCAGAGGGGGAUGGAAUUCCGCGUGUAGCAGUGAAAUGCGUAGAUAUGCGGAGGAACACCGAUGGCGAAGGCAAUCCCCUGGGCCUGUACUGACGCUCAUGCACGAAAGCGUGGGGAGCAAACAGGAUUAGAUACCCCAGUAGUCCCUGUCUCUUAUAA